rnacentral:antisense_RNA from 1 species
CUUGAUCGACCCCAGCCAGAGUGGCUGGUUGUCGCGGCGGUGUUGUCCGUACGUGGCCAGGAGCGCCUGCGCCUC